rnacentral:rRNA from 1 species
GGGUACCGUCAGGCCUGCCGCGUAUUAGACGACAGGAGGUUCUUCCCUCUGACAGAGCUUUACGACCCGAGAGCCUUCAUCACUCACGCGGUAUUGCUGCGUCAGGCUUUCGCCCAUUGCGCAAAAUUCCCCA